UACGAAGGGGGCUAGCGUUGCUCGGAAUCACUGGGCGUAAAGCGCACGUAGGCGGAUUGCUAAGUCAGGGGUGAAAUCCUGGAGCUCAACUCCAGAACUGCCUUUGAUACUGGCGAUCUUGAGUCCGGGAGAGGUGAGUGGAACUGCGAGUGUAGAGGUGAAAUUCGUAGAUAUUCGGAGGAACACCAGUGGCGAAGGCGGCUCACUGGCUCGAUACUGACGCUGAGGUGCGAAAGCGUGGGGAGCAAACAGG
rnacentral:rRNA from 1 species